UGCUUUAGAAGGGAAGCCUGGCUCAGCGAUUUAGUGCCGCCCUCAGCCCAGGGUGUGACUCUGGAGACCCAGGAUCGAGUCCCACGUCGGGCUCCCUGCAUGGAGCCUGCUUCUCCCUCUGCCUGUGUCUCUGCCUCUCUCUCUCUCUCUCUCCCCCCGUAUCUCUCAUGAAUAAAUAAAUAAAUAAAUCUUUAAGAAAAAAAAGAAUUUGCUUUAGAAAAUAUUAGCUAGGUAUCAUAGUCCAUUAAGUGUCCUGUCAUCUAAUCCCAGAUUAAUCCUCUUUCCUGGUUUAUAGGAGAUGGUCCUUUUCCUGGUUUGAUUGAUGUUUGGUGAUGGAGGAUUAAAUGAAUCUCGAGCUAGUCUCCUGGCUUGUGGAGGUUUUGCCACUCUGGCUUUGCCAUUUUUUGGCUAUGAAGAUCCACCUCCAAUCGUGAAGGACUUAAAUUUAGAUUACUUUGAGGAGGCAGCUAAAUUUGUGCAAAGUCGCCCAAAGAUUUUAUUUAUUCAUGAAAGACAUAGAAAGAGAGGCAGAGACACAGGCAGAGGGAGAAGCACGCUCCAUGCACCGGGAGCCCGACGUGGGAUUCGAUUCCGGAUCUCCAGGAUCACGCCCUGAGCUGAAGGCAGACGCUCAACCGCUGAGCCACCCAGGCAUCCCUGCUUUGGUGAUUUUAUACUUCAAAUUAAGGUCUAAAAAAACACCAGCUGUGAAAGCAAUAUAAAUGGACUUUAACUUGGACCUCAUCUGUUAAGUUCCCAUGCUUGGAGAAACUAAUGUCAACUCAUCAUGUGAUACUCAAUUUGUACAAUAAAUUAUGAACCUGGAAAAAAAAUUUUUUAAAAAAUAAAACUUUAAAACCUCGCUAUAAAA